rnacentral:rRNA from 1 species
AGGACGAACGCUGGCGGCGUGCUUAACACAUGCAAGUCGAGCGGAAAGGCCUUUCGGGGUACUCGAGCGGCGAACGGGUGAGUAACACGUGAGUAAUCUGCCCAUCGCUUCAGGAUAGCCAUCGGAAACGGUGAUUAAUACUGGAUAUGACAUUCCUUCGCAGUGUUGGGGUGUGGUAAAGUUUUUUCGGCGGUGGAUGUGCUCGCGGCCUAUCAGCUUGUUGGUGGGUAAUGGCCUACCAAGGUCUUUGGACGGGUAGCCGGCCUGGAGAGGGUCGACCGGCCACACGUGGGACUGACGACACCGGCCCAGACCUCCGUACGGGAGCGAGCGAGGUGGGAAUAGUGGACAAGGUGGGCGGAAGCCUGAUCCAGCCAACGCCGACGGUGAGGA